ensembl:lncRNA
UUCCAAAUACACCUGAUUUUUAGAGUAGAUGUAAGAUAGACCUGUGCAUAUUAAGAUGAGCUUGGAGAUUUGAUUUUCUUUGUCUUUCUUACUGUCUUGUCUGAAGAUGUAAUUCUAUGUUAACUUUAAAAUUAUACUAAUAUCUUUCAAGUACAUGAAGUUUAUGAGGAAAUAUAUGUAGAAGAAGAAAUUUCUACUGUUCAUAGAAAAGAGGAGGCUUCGCCACCUGGAGGUAUAUGAACUUCUUGAUCAUCUCUCAUCUGCAAUUUGGUCAUUGAUCAUCUGCAAUUGAUUUUCUGCAAUUUGCAAAUUGAUGACCUUCAAGAAAAAAUUAAUUAUUCAUGUUCAUAGUUUAGAUCUUGUUCAAUAUAAUUAAUAUUUGUGUUUAUUGUUUUUGUUCUUUAUUUGCAUUUAAUACUUGCUUUUUUUUUUGUAUGACUUGUUUUUCUGUUCUAUAAAAAUUCUUAAAAUGAACUAAUAUCUUUAAAGUGCCUGCAGUUGUGAAAAUUGCUCCUGAAGUGCCUAUUGCUGUGCCUAAAAAAACAGAACCUACUCCUGUGUCUAGAAAGCCAGGAUCACCAUCUAAAGUGCCUGAAGUGCCCACAAAAGUUAUUGCUGAAGAGAAGCCUGUCCCUCUGUCUAAAAAGCCAGAAGCUCCACCCACCAAAGGUAUAGGCCAACAUAUCCUUUCUUUCUCCUUUUUCUUCAGCUUUCUUCUGUCUUGUUUUGCUCUUGUCCAAAUGUUGAAAAAUAGUUGAAUUUGGCUAUUUCUUCUACCCAAGAACAAUCCACUGCAGUGGUACAGAAAUUAUCAGAAGGACUAAUAGUAAUAAGAAAAACUUUAGCUGAGUCAAUAGGCAGCAAGAUUUACAAAAUAAACAUUUUCACUUUAUGGAUAUUAAUAUAUAAUAUAUAAAGUAAACAGCUUCAGAAAUUCCACAAUACUCAAGCAAGAAAUCUCUGUUCUCUUUCACAUUGCUCGUGUUAAACUUAUUGAUUAAUUUUUGAAUAGAAAUUGCAUUUAGCUAUUGAAAACAUUAGAAAUAUAGAAAUAUAAUAUAGAAAUGAAAACAUUUCUAACGGUUCAUUCAGGUAUAUUAGAAGGCUGUUUGAAUGAGCAUUUUGUGUCAUAUGUCACUACUGCAUGACAAAAGUCUCCCAGUUAAGCUGCUUCGAACCGUUCUUUGUCAGAGUAGAACAAGUGCAACUGUUUUGAACAUAUAAGUGUUGUCAGACUGUCCUUUCAUAUCUACUUGUUCUAUCUUACUUCCAUGUAUUGUGUGUUUUAUUUUUCUAAUUCCCAAAAGUGCAUAUCUUUAAAGUAUCCAAGCUACCUGAGAAAUCUGUCUCAGAAGAGAAGGUACCUUUUGCUGUACCAAAAAAGACAGGAAUACCACCUAUAGGCUGUGUGUCAACAAUGGUUAAACUCUGAGAAGAUUCCUCUUUCUCUUGGGCAGAGGGCUUUACAUUAAAAUAAAAUUCAUCCUUUCUUCCUUAUUUAUAAGCAUUCCUAUAGUAUGUAGUAAUAUACAACAUUGCACAUCUAAUUUCAGAUCCAUUCUUAAGAAUCAUUCUGCUAUUCUUCUUGUGACACUCUUUCUUCUAAAUAAUUUACGUAUCUUUAAAUGCUUUAAAAAUAACAAAAAUAAAUGCUGCUUUCUUUAAAGUGCCAGAUGUGCCCAAGAAAAUUCCAGAAGAGAAAGUACCCAUCACUGUGCCGAAAAAACCAGAACCAACACCAGCCAAAGGUAUUUUUUAAUAUAUAGAACUAAAGUUUGGAAGAAAAGACCUCUAACAUGAUUGUUUCAAUUGGUUUCUGAUUGUUUUGUUGUGUUGUUCUACUAUAUUUAUUUUCUGUGGUCAUACUUCUAUGUGUGCUACUGCUUUGAAAAAUUCUUUUGAGUAUGAUUAAUGUACCAGUGAGUUAGGAAUAUUCAUAUAAUUGGGCAGUUAUGAGACUGAUUCUUGAGUACCGCUGCAGAAAUCUUUAAGGGAAAGCAGUGCUUCUGUAAUCUGAAAUACUGUUGACUAAAGUAAAAAAAAAAAAAAAUUAGCUCCAGAAGAAUGUUUAAGGACAUCAAAGUACAGAGUGAUAGAGAUGCCUAACACAAGGGAAAAAUCUAUAAUGAUACAGAGACAAAAUCAUCAUGCGUAGAAGAAUAUGACAAAGAAAGCAGAAUGGACAGUGGCAGCCUUAGUCAGAGAUUAGAGAUGCUGUUGACUUAAGUGGAAAAAUUAUUUUAUGCAGAAGAAUGCAUUUAAGUCUGCUACAUCCCCGAUCUCCAUUUGACUAAAGCUUCUAAAGGCUCUGAAAUGCUACCUCAGACUUUACAGGGACACUAAGUACUAACUUUAUUUUAGUAAAAAUGUGAUUCCAUGAAGGCUUUUCCUAAUUUGCAGUUUCUACUUGAAAGUUUUGUACAUAGCUGUAAAAUUCUAUAAAAUAUCUGAAAAUCAUCUCUUUCCUUAAAGAGCCUGAAGUGCCCAAGAAAAUAGAAGAGAAAAUCAAAGUUAUUGAGCCUAAAAAGCCAGAAGUACCACCAGCUAAAGGUACCUGACAUUAAUAAAUAUAUGAAAAUAAUUUUUUUCCUUUCACUGAUAAGAUCUUUUUGAUACUAUUUAUC